CACUGCCUUGCACUCUGUGUGUGUAUGUGUGUGUUUGUGCUUGCACUUUUGUGGCCCUGCUCUCGCUCCCUGCAACUGCUGGGAGAACACGUUGUGCUCCCCUCCAGCGUGGCAGCCUGCAUGGCACCGGGGGAACGUGCACUGCUUUUCCGCUGGGCAAGAACAGGGAGUUUGAAGGGUGCACGUGAGAGGGAGACCUCUGUGAACCACGCAGCCUUGGGGCUGAAGGGGAUUUGUUUGGUUUUCUUUGUUCCCCUUGCCCCCUCCUGUAUUAGCACUGGACCACAGUGGGGUGGGUUUGCUGCCUGUUGACAAGCAGCUUGUCUUGCACUGGAUCAGCCCACCUUGCAGCUAUUCCUUUUCUUUUACCCGCUGCUUGUUGGUGAAAUGUCUUUAUUUUGCAUGAGCAGCCCCCUUGUUCUCGCCGCAGUUUCAUCUCUAACGCUCGCUCCCUUUGUCUGGCGGACACUCCCACAGCUCCCCAUUUUUCUGCCCUUCCUCCUGGCUUUCCAAACGUGUUUCUCUAGCCCCUGUGCCCUCGGGGUCUGCCACACUCCUCCUUUUCACACCUGACGGGGUCUAUAUGUAGCCAGCUCCUUGCCAGAUAAAUCACGGGCCCUCCCUGUGUCUGAGCAGGGCAGUGCACACAGGAAUGCGCCUCUGCUGCUUGCAGGGCGGCAGGGAAGAGGGGCAAAAGCGGUUCCCUUCCUCGGGAGCCCCGGCCUGUGCUUCCCCACCACGCGCCUUCGGCAGCGAAAGCUAAAGAAAUACCCAACUGCAUCUGAAUGUUGAAAAUCUGCCUGCCCGCCUUGGCCUUUCUGUCCCGUGGGAGUCUCUCCUCGGUGCUCGGGGACAGAAACCUGCUGUUUCUCUGCUUUUGUGAGAGAUGUUUAGCUCUUAAAACUGCAAUUUUAUUUCUCAAGGCCUUUGCCCUUUAGUGUGGCUUUUGCCUCUGACACUUUUGUUUCCCGUGGGGCUUUGAAAGGCUGGCCUCUAAAGGUGAGCCUAAAUCAAUGUCCUGACUCCUGAAUGCUGGCGCGGGACGCCGUGCGGCUCCUGUGCCAACGCCGAGCCCGACGGUGAUGUGAUCUCCUGCUGGAGCCCUCCUGGGGCUCUCUCCGUGCUGAUGGAUCCGUGCGUGUGAACGGAAAAGCUCCAUUUGUUCUGCCUGGAUUUAUACCGGGCAAAUACCUGUAUGUAGCAGGAGUUGUCUGGCCUUCCCUGCUGAUGUGUCUUACCACAGCGAGCCUGUGUUCAUGGGGUAUAUAAAUGUGUGCCUUUCAGUAUAAGGGAGUGUUAUCUUUUGAUGGGGUGACUGUGAUAGCCUCUACUCUCCUCUUUGGCCUCCCGUGGCCCAGCAGUGGCUGGGAGGGCAGUGCAUGUCCAGCACCACCUACGGAUGGAUAGUCCUGCGAGGUUCAAGGGAGCGACGUGUUGUCUGAGCACCCUGAUGAGUGAAGGUCCAAAGUGAUGGUUCCCCAGCUACGAGUCGUCUGCAGCAUCCUGAACUCUUCCUGCCGAUGGAUGCUUUCUCCUGAAUGCCUGAUGCUUACCAGGAUCCAGUCCUCUCAGCGUGGCAUGCAGAAAUGGGAUUGUGAAGAAACCGCAUGGAUUGCACGUGGAGAACCAGAUGGAAGCAGCAUGCGCCCGUUCUGGAUCUGCUUCCCAAUUGCUCUGCUGCGGGUCCAAGUGCUGUUUCUACCUGCCACUGAAAAGGCCGCUGUCAACAGGGACCAGUUCUUCAAUGAAACACUCUUACCUGCAUUAGGGUAAAUGCUUUGUAAGAACUGAAGGAGAGACCUUCAUCUCUCAGUCAGCCUGUUCACUUUUUUCAACCUUCCCUGGGACUGGAAAGAGAAGCAACCUCUUUAGUGGUGAGAAGAGAGUGAAAUUGGGUCUCUUGGAUGUUUUUUCUGAUGUCAUAUUAUUUCCCUGGAUCUCCGUUUGUUUUGGGGAUUGUUUCACACCUCAGUGCAAGACAAGCGGACCAUGGUGAUACCUACCUCAUUGGGGUGUUGCGAGGCUAAACUCGCCUUUUGUGAAGUGCUUUGAGAUUCAAAGGUGGAAGGUGCUACAGGAGUUCAGGCUCUUCAUAAAAAAUAGUGAACAGCGAGAGCAGACCAGCCUGUUUAGCUUUGUUUAUAGCCAGCUUAUGAGCAAGAACUGAGUCGCAGGAACAAAGCUCUGAUCCAAGUCCUGCAGGGCUUGCCAAGAGCCACGUGCUUGUAAGGCCUGCCAGCCAAGCGCAGGCUGCUUCCCUGCAAAUACCCCUCCUUUCCUGCCUGGAAGUGAAGUUGAUAGCAUCUCCCUUGGAAGAGGGAUGCCCGGGGUGGCUGGGGAUCUCCUGCUGAGCUCUGCGAGCUCAGGUGCAGGUGCCUGCGAGGGGUAGGGCUGCCCUGCUCGUCUCUUCUACUGGUCUGUUUUUCCUGUGGCUCUCAAGUGUGCUGCUCAAAUGCUUAAAACUCUGCUAAAGCCAGCAGCAAAAACAAUUUUCAGCUUUUUUUUCAGGGCAGGUGGAAAUGGCUGUAGGUUUCCACAAAGGAUGACUUCUUUCUUUCUUUUUUCUUCUCCAAAGAGUGGAAAAUGAGGAUUUCCUGUAGCUUCUAGGAGGCUAGGGGUAGAUACUAGACCCCUAGUAUCCUGCCAGUCCUGCAGCCAGGACUAGGAGAGGGUUAACACAGCCACUUAGGCAGCCCUUAGCCCAACAGCUUCAGUCACUGCACCUCCUGCUUCCAUCCUACCCUUGCUCUGUGGUUUUAAGCUCUCCAGUGAGAAAGAACAACUAGGAGGUGGGAUGGAU